rfam:Triticum aestivum genome assembly, contig: Triticum_aestivum_CS42_TGACv1_scaffold_361510_4DS
CAUGUACUCCCUCCAUUCGGAAUUACUUGUCUUGAAAAUGGAUGUAUCUAGAACUAAAAUACAUCUAGAUAUAUCCAUUUCUGCGACAAGUAAUUCCGAACAAAGGGAGUAGCGA